CUCAGAUUGAACGCUGGCGGCAUGCCUUACACAUGCAAGUCGAACGGCAGCGCGGACUUCGGUCUGGCGGCGAGUGGCGAACGGGUGAGUAAUACAUCGGAACGUACCCUGUUGUGGGGGAUAACUAGUCGAAAGAUUAGCUAAUACCGCAUACGACCUGAGGGUGAAAGUGGGGGACCGCAAGGCCUCACGCAGCAGGAGCGGCCGAUGUCUGAUUAGUAGUUGGGGGGUAAAGGCCCCCCAGGCGACGAUCAUAGCUGUUUUGAGAGGACGAUCAGCCCCCUGGGAUUGAGACACGGCCCAGAUUCUACGGGAGGCAGCAGUGGGAAUUUUGGACAAUGGGGGCAACCCUGAUCCAGCAAUGCCGCGUGUGUGAAGAAGGCCUUCGGGUUGUAAAGCACUUUUUUCCGGAAAGAGAUCGCGCUGGUUAAUACCUGGCGUGGAUGACGGUACCGGAAGAAUAAGCACCGGCUAACUACGUGCCAGCAGCCGCGGUAAUACGUAGGGUGCGAGCGUUAAUCGGAAUUACUGGGCGUAAAGCGUGCGCAGGCGGUUUUGUAAGACAGGCGUGAAAUCCCCGGGCUUAACCUGGGAAUUGCGCUUGUGACUGCAAGGCUAGAGUGCGUCAGAGGGGGGUAGAAUUCCCCGUGUAGCAGUGAAAUGCGUAGAGAUGUGGAGGAAUACCGAUGGCGAAGGCAGCCCCCUGGGACGUGACUGACGCUCUGCACGAAAGCGUGGGGAGCAAACAGGAUUAGAUACCCUGGUAGUCCCGCCCUAAACAUGUCAACUAGUUGUUGGGGAUUCAUUUUCUCAGUAACGUAGCUCACGCGUUAAGUUGAGGGCCUGGGGCGUACGGUCGCAAGAUUAAAACUCAAAGGAAUUGACGGGGACCCGCACAAGCGGUGGAUGAUGUGGAUUAAUUCGAUGCAACGCGAAAAACCUUACCUACCCUUGACAUGCCACUAACGAAGCAGAGAUGCAUUAGGUGCCCGAAAGGGAAAGUGGACACAGGUGCUGCAUGG
rnacentral:rRNA from 1 species